GUUAUCCAACACCAACCUCUAAAAAACAUCAGAAAGAAGAAGAGUCGCCUCUCAGCCUCCUCUCAGUCUGAUGAUGCUACCAGGUCGAUGCUAGCCAGCUAGCACUGAUGGUUUCUCUCUCUGGAUAUCGAUCCCCAUCACUAACUCGACAUGGGCAAGAGAGACAAUCGAGUGGCUUACAUUAACCCCAUUGCUGCUGCAAGAGCCAGGGGACCGGCAAAUAACGCCGGACCAACUAUACAAGAUUAUUUAAGCAGACCUCGACCAACAUGGGAAGAGUUAAAGGAGCAGCUGGAGAAGAAGAAGAAGGGCUCUCGAGCCCUGGCUGACUUUGAGGACAAAAUGAACGUGAAAUGGAGGAAAGAAUUGGCAAAGAACCGAGAGAAGUUGAUGGGUGCCAUGUCAAGUGACAAAGACAAGGAGAAAGACAAAAAGACAACAGACAAAAAGACAACAGACAAGGAAAAAGAGGAGAAGAAAGAGAAAAAAGAGAAAAAGAAGAAAGAGAAGAAGAAAUCUAACAGGCAUUCUUCAUCUUCCUCCUCCUCAUCGAGUUCUGAUUCCCCCAGCAGCUCCUCCUCAGAAUCUGAAGACGUGGAUGAAAAGAAGAGUGUGAAGAAAAAGCGGAAGAGAAAGAAGUCAUCCACCAGGAGAGCAUCAGACAGCUCAGAGGAAGAGUCUGAUGCGGAAAGCAAGAAGAAAAAGAAAAGAAUCAAGGAAGAAGGGGAUAAAGAUAAGGAUGACAAGAGCCGUAAAAGAAAAAGGAAGGCCGAGCGAAUUUAUAAAGACUCAUCCUCAGAGUCCUCUGCAGAAUCUGAGGGGGAAGAGGUAGCUGAAGCCAAGAAGAAAAAGAGAAGUAGCGAGGAAAAGGAGAAAAUCACAGUGAGACAAACUUCCUUUUAGAGUCUACAGUUUGAUGUGAGGCAGAUGCUUAUCUCAUGACUACAGCAAAGACUAAUGUCAGCAAUGUAUGACUUUAGUAAGUAGGACAAAUCCAAGAAGAAGAGGAAAAAGAAGCACAAGAAACACGGCAGAAAAAAGAAAAAGAAGGCAGCAUCUCAGUCAGACUCGGAGCUCGACUAACAACCGUAAAGCUUUACGGUUCUCUCAUCUUCCUGACAGCUCACAAGUAGUGUUAUUUUUGCCUUUGACCUCUGAAAACUUCUCCCAUCCAGCUUUGGACAUCACGCUUGAACAAGAGAUCUACAGACUUGUAAUGCUGGGGUUCUGUGAGUGGAGUGAAAUCGAGGGAGGCACCCAUCCCUCUAAGUGGCAACUACCGGUACAUAUCUUCUGUUGAUUUUUGUCACCACGCUUUUUGUAGAUAAUUGUUCUUUCAACGACGGGACUGAAGUGAAUUCCUCAUAUUCUUUUUUUCCCCCCACCUCAUCUCGGAGAUUUCAAUGUGACUGGCACUUGCUUCCACCUUCAGUAUGCUGGCCCUCUCGGAGUCGCUCUCUCUGUUUCAUACCCGACAUCUUGUGUUUCUAGUUGCUAGAUGAGGCUGUCAUGCUAGUGCCUGCGUCGUGCAUGUAGAACUGAUGUCUCGCCAGCCUCAUAUUGAAGUUGGACUUGCGAUAAGAAAUGUGAGCUGCACAGUCAACAUUUAUACAAGGGAUAAUUGUUCCGAUAGAUGAAUUGUCACACUGCAGUGUAAAUGUAUAAACAAUGGGAAUUCAUUAAUAAAGUAUUGUUUUAGCCUUUA